GUUUACAGGAAAGUAAAAAAAAAAUUGUAAUAAUAUUCAUAUAGGAGGGACAUCAAAGUCAUAAAGGAACAAGUAGUAAAGUAAAGAGCCCAUAUACGAGUGUUAAUAUUUCUGAUGAAGAACUAGACGUGAUCAUCUUGCCUGCUUCAAAAUACCCAGCUGGGUAAAGUGUUCUUUUUGACGAACUCACUUUGUAAGGGGUCAAUAUCUUCUGAUGCCACAAAGACAAAAUGCCAUCUGGAAUGGUUGCACAAGAUAAGAAAUAUGAAGAGAUGAAUGAAGAAUACGAAGUGACAGCAGACAAAUGAGGCCAGGCUUCAGUGGAAUUUCAGUUGGGAGGUGCCAAAUCUUUCAUGGUACAUUCUGCCUCCCUAGAAUUGUUUUUUGUGGACCCCAGAGACACUUAAUGGAGACUCUUUACUGCAAUCAGUGAACAGGAACUUUCCUCACCUGAGAAUGAGUUGUCUUUGUCCUUGGGGGCAGAAGAAGAAGGAGGGACAUCUGCUGGGAAACAAACUCGGUCCCCUGGAUUAAUGAUACCUUCCAAUUUGUUCUUCCCACCACUCUGUUAAAAGCACAAUACACAGUGUAAAUCUACAGCAAAUGUAAUGUGGCAUUAAACUGAAAAUAUGUUAACUGUCA